GCGGCAUUUUUAAUACGAUAAGACGCUGGGACUUAUUCCACUUCAAAGUUGUUUGGAUAAAAACUUAAUUUGCGCCUAGUCAAUUCCAUUCUGGAUUUGUUGAUAAUUCACGCCUGUGUGUUUUAUAUUCACAGUUUGUUUAAGAAUGUGAAGAAGCGUGAAUCAGGUUGAAAAUACUGCACGCUUUGUGGAAGGAGAGAUUGUUGGAUAUAGUCUACUGGUUACUGUCAAAGGUAAGUGAAAAUUUAGUAAUGUAAUCGAGUACGAUGAUUGCCAAAGAGUCACGAUAUUGAGAAGUGAUAAUCGAAUUCAGUUUCGAAAUUAUUUAAAUUGUAUGGUCAGGAUUAAUUUCUCAUUCCAAGAAAGUACAGCGUGUAUCAAAAAAACGUAUAAUCCAACUUCCCCAUGUAAUUGUUGAGUUUAUCAAUUUACUCGUUUAGUAUCGGUAAAGAUCAGCUUUACAUGCAGCUGUCGAAUGAUACCUUUCUUCAAUGAUUGCGAACAAAAAUGGCUAAAUACGAUACGUUUAAACACUGCUGGUCGAAAUAACAUUUUCUCACCUCAUAAAGAUAUUAGAAACCUUUAGUUAAGAUUGACGUUUGCGGUAGACCGCUAUAACCGCAAAAGACAAACUCCAAAUUGUAUUUUGAGAUCAACUGUUAAACCGUACGAAGUUGGGCAAUUUGUGCAUUAAUAUUGAAGUAUGAAUGAGCUAUUUUAGCUCUGGAAGUACGAUUUGAAGUCUGUUGUAUUGUGGUCUAUAUUCUUCGAAUUUUCGAACCGAUUUGCCCAAAUUUCCAUGUGGAAAACAUUCCGCCUUGCAGCUUCUCUGCGAACUUCCUGUUUCGUAACGUCGUAACCACAAAAUCUUGUUGUUAAUUAAAUUGCAAGUUAGGUAAACCAUCUUUAAAUUUACCAAGCCGGAUUAUAUUCUUAAAGUUGUAUCCAAAAUAAGAAAGAUUUCAACUCUCAUACAAUAGUUUUGUAUUCAAUUUCCAUUGAUGGAAAACGCGAUUUUGACCGGUCGUUUUAAAUCGGAUAUCGUAUUCGGUCAUUUUUGGUCGCUAUGACACCAAAAAGGUAUCAUUUGACAGCUACUGUAAAGGCCUAAUAUUGAUUGCUGUGGAAAAAGUAAUCUAUGUAUACCAAUACCACGAUAAAGAUUGGUUUACGCUAUCAAAGUUUCUGUGAUCAAAGUAUAGGAAUUUCACAUAGGUAAAUUCUAAGUUUUGAAGGAUUUGUAAGAAAUGUUUGAGGGAACUGCAUGACUCCACUUAAACAACGAGUCAUUUCCCUCAAAAAUUUCUUACAAAUCAUGUACGCCAAAAAUUGACAAAGUUUUUCCCUUGAAAAGGAGCCUUGUUCCAAUGCUAAUCAUACCAGCUUUUCAACAAGGAAAUGUUUUAAAUUUGACAAGUAAUUGCGCAGUGCGUCACUGCGCACUCAUCUUCGAGCGGCCAUUGACAUUAAAUCUCGUUUGUUUUGAAAUUCGCUUUUGAAUAGAAGUGUGGUACAUCGUUGACUGUUUCAGCUGUUUUUAUUUUGUCGGAUGUAUAAUAGCAUUGAACGAAGAUCAUUAUGAAAUUGUUGACGUACUUAAAUAGCGCGGGCGCGUAAAAUGUGUCAAGGAAAGAUUGAUUGAUUGAGAUGUCGUACACACGAGCAAGUAAAGUCGUCAAGAAGUUUGUCAAAGGAAAACUUGAUCGUCUGUUCUGGGCUUUAGAUUACCUUUUUUGAUACACCCUGUUUAUACAACUAAUUGAAUUAAGAUUGUCCUUUAUACAUAAGUCAAAAACCGCAAAAUCCACGACUUCUAUGCGCAAAAAGCGCAAUGGAAGGGCUUGAGGAGGAUGAAUGAUGAUGAUAAUGCUAAACUUUAUUUAACCACGUUAACAUUGUCAGCUAAAGCUUGUUUCCACGAUGGGCUUGAGUGAACAAAAGUAAAUUUACAAUAUAAGUUAAAGGUAGUAAGAUACAUGCAUAUGUGAAAAUAUAGGCCUACUAUAAUAUACGUUAAUUUACUAUUUACAACCAUACUUUAAUAGCGGUGGGUAGUGAUUUUUCUUUCGGAAAUUGAUAGCGUUUUGCUUUCUCUAAUAAUUUCUGGCAAAGAGUUCCAUAUGAAAGCUCCGUUAUACACGAAACUCUUUUUCAAACUGGUUGAGCUGUCACGAAGAUUAUGAUUUAAUAUUUCAUUUUCUAAAGUAAAUAUAUCUUUGAGGCAAUUUGGCCCCAUAUUAUGAUUUAUGAAGUAUCUUAAACAUCGUUUUCGCUUUAGUUUUUAAUCGUUGUUCAUUAAUCGUUUUCGCUUCUGUAAUCGAGUAUGAAAGGGAACAUAGCCAUUGAAUGUGUGUUUUGCAAAAUGCUACGAGCAAUAUACGAAAGAGACUAAUAUGUCCAUAUUACUUUCCGCCCUGCGGUUGUGAGUUUUGACCUUCGGAGGAUAAUGCGUACGCAAAAAUGCAUUCUGACAAUGAAACCAAAAUAUUACAUUUGUCGAAAGUGCAAAUAAACGUUGCAAUGGACUCUUCGCAUACCAAUUUAAGUUGGUCUAUUUAGAACGCCCAACGAAGGAUGGGUCUUGCUAGACUUCUAGGACGGUUUAAAAAAGCAGGUCGAGCUGUUCGGUAUAAAUAAAGCUAAUUUAACAGCAGGCAUUGCCGGAAGGACUAACAUGUAUGCACGCGCCUUUUGCCAUGCAAGCGCCUUUUUCAUGAUGAAGAAAUUUAAGAAAAGAUUUAUAUAAGGACAUGCACGUUAAGUUUAUCUCACAGAUUGACUGCUUUUUGUCUGGAUAAUAAAUGUUACUGUUAUGAAAUGCAGGCGUGUCUUAUGCUUUCAUCCGCUGUUGUAUGUGUGUCUGUUUGUCUAUCAGCACGAUAACGUAAAAAAAUAUCAAACGUAUUAAUACCAAAAUUUUUACGACUAAUGGACAUAAAGGCGGAUCUCCACUAGACGAUUUUUGAGACGAUUUUUAUGACGAUCGUCAUAAAAUUCGCGACGAUUUACGGAUUUAGAGAGAAUUGGAGAUGUACUAGCAGCAAGAAAAAAAGCGCGGAAUCUUAUUGGUUAAAAAUGUGGUGAUCGUCUGACGCUCGACGGAAAGUAGAAGUAAAUCCUACUUUUCGUCGAGCGCCAGACGAUCGCUCUUCGAACAUUUUUUUCAAUUGCGCAUGUGUCGCGAACUGUUUUGACGAUCGUCUAAAAAGUCGUCUAGUUGAGAUCCGCCUUUACCCAAGGACAAAUUGGUUAAACUUGUGUUAAAUUUAGAUGAAAAUUUGAUGCUUUUUGGGGCGGAGUAAAUUGAAUACGUAAUUAGCUCAUUGUAUAAUUUAUGCAUGAUACAUAACUUAAUUCGUUGGCGGUAUGCGGUCCCCGUGUGCCAUCUAGUUUAUUCUUGGUUUAGUAGAGAUACGCGAAAAGAAGCCCCUUGCUUGGCCUGUUCAAGAGACCCACAGAACUGGUCGUAUGUAGGAUUGUCAUUCUGGCGUAUGAAACACCACUAAUAUUCCUGCCCAUGUGACGUCUUUAAACGUAUAUUUAUUCGAGUGCGUGCGCAUAUUAUGCAGAUGAGCCGUAAUUGAUUUAGGUUCUUUUCUGCGUGUGGCUAGUUGAUCCGCAAAAAGCCAGGAAACGACGUCUUCGCUCGAUUCAGCCUCUAAUUGUUUUGAUCUUGUAAAGCUAUUUACUUUCCCUCUAACUGAGCUGAGGCCUCCCAUGUAGAUUUUUCAGUAGCUAUGGCCGCCAUUUCCAUGAAAUCGUGUAGUCGUCGAGAAGCAUUAUCUUCAAAUUCCUCACAAUGGUUUUAAAAUUAAAGCCCCGGUCAAAUGAGAGUUAGCAGUCACGCAUUGUUACAGGGGACCAUUUCAAGCUCUAGAUGAACAAAAUAAAGGUUUGACGAAUGUUCUAACCAUGCUUUAACUUAAAUAGAAUACAUGAUAGUGUUGAGAAAGCAUUAAGAACAGCUAACUGAAUUUCCUACAUUGAUACUGAAAAGUAGCGAAACAUUCAUUUCCCCAUUUUCAUAAAAUGUUUUAACUAUGAAAUAGACACUUCGUGAAUUUGCUAGCGCUGGCAACGAGAACUACUUGUUUACAAUGGAUUUCAUUUCCUGCCUCGAUUUCAAGCUAUCGUGUCGUGUGCAUUCACGCCAAUUCGGGAAGUGUCUAUCUUACUGUAAAUUUGUAAACAAGAGGGCACGCGUGGAGACUGCACAUUCCAUCAGCGAAUUUACUCUGCUCCGCAAAGCGAGACAAGCUUUUGCUAAUUCUUCAUUCAAAUUUGACCGAAAUUUUAUCAAGUUGUCCUUAGGCAAUGGCCAUCUGUUCCACAAAGUUAUUCACUGUGAGUCAAACACACGCACGUGCAAUCUAACAAACGCGAAUGAAAAAAUGUUUUUAAGUACUAUAUCCAACACGAGUAAGUGUUCUUCCUCUGAUUUCUAAAUACAGACAAAGGCGAAGCCGAGUUUUCAGUUUAACCAGCUUGUCUGUACUGUAUUUAGAAAUCAGAGGAUGAACACUUACUCGUGCUGGAUAUAGACUAUAGUACUUCUCAAACUCAUUGAUACUUUAAGAGAAAAUCGAGUUUAAAGUCGACGAAAAACGGCUGUAAUCUUCCCGUCUUAUUUCUAAAUACAGAAUUAAUAUGCAUUUCUUUUGAAUUUCCUUCAUGAAUUAUUAAUGAGUUUGAGAAUUCAAUUCACUCAAUUCCCGAUUUCGACCGGCCAUUUUGGAUCGGAUAUUAUAUGGCCAGCUUUCAUCGCAGUGAUGCCAAAAAAGUCGCAUUUUACUGCUAAAUACCUAAUCUUUAUUCGCAUAUGGAAAGAGUUCGUCCUAUUUCACGACGCCAUGCCAAAUUCUGCCUUUACACCCUUUUAAUACAUCCUUAUUAUACAUCCUUUAUAAUUGCAGUGACCUUGCAUGAAAUUGGCUCGUGUUUACUUCAAUACGGAUAAAAUGGUUUAAAAUAAGGAUUAUACCUUAACGGAUAAAGCCUGCUGAAAUGUAAUGUCUGGAAAUAUAUUUUUUAUGCUCACUUUUGGACAUGAUGGCAUGCACGCAAAGAUGACGGCACAGAGUAAGUACAUACAGAGGUCUCACUUCAGGUUAUAAAUUUAGCGUAAGGGAUGUUUUCAGUUCGCCAUGUUCUUAGCAAGUGCCUUAUAAGCGAGUCCGUCACCCCCCUGAAAACAUAUUGGAAUUUAAUGUUCCAGGGGGGGUGAAUGCCUCUCUUUGGGGCACUUGUUAAGAACAUGGCCGCCAGCUAUUUUGGUAAAAACUACCUUACGGUUUUCCCGCAGAAGUGAGACCUCUGUGUGUAUAAGUACUCUGUGAUAACAGCUAUCAGCGCAGUAAAAUUCAUCACAUGACACAAAAGAAUAUCUCGUUUGAUAAUAAUGUAUCAAUGAUAAGAAUAUCUAAUUUGAUAAUAAUAAUUUUUGAAAAUUUUGAAUGAAAUCAAACCUUAUUCAACGUUAUCCAACAUUAUCCAACGUCAUCCAACGUUAUCCAACAUUAUCCAACGUUAUCCAACUUUAUCCAACGUUCAACAUUAUCCAACGUUAUCCAACAUAGUGUUGAAACAACCCAGUAGUGUUGCAUGAUGCCGGACCAACAUGUUGGAUUCAUUUUAACUCCCGAGGGACCCUCGGAAAUACCAAGCUGUGUGUAAAAGCCCGGAUAAAACGAGGAUGCGAGUGCGUGCAUGAGAGUUAGCAGUCACGCGAUCUUGGUUAGCUGUUCUUAAUGCUGUCCCAACACUAUCAUGUAUUCUAAGUUAAAUCGUAGCUGAAACACUGGUCCAAACUUAAUUUUGUUAAUCUAGAGCUUGAAAUGUCCCAUGUAACAGUGCCUGACUGCGUGACGUUCUUGUUUUUCACAAUAUCAAAGUUUCUGUGAUCACAGUAGGAAUUGUGCAUGGGUACAUUCUAAGUUUUGAAGGAUUUGUAAGAAAUAUUUGAGAAAACCGACUCAGUGUUUAACAUUGAAUCGGUUCCCUCAAGCAUUUCUUGCAAAUCCUUCAAAACUUUGAAUUUACCUAUGCAAAAUUCGUAUUGUGAUCACAGGAACUUUGAUAGGAAUGGACCUUUCCCCUUAUAACUAAAAUUUCGAUCUAGACAAAAAUUUCAUCACAGCUUGAAAGAGCAUCACAAAAUUAGUAAUAUUCCAAAGUUUUGUUGUAAAAUCUUGUAAAAUGCGGAUAAUAUAGCCUUGCGAAGUUUGCCGUUUUUCAGUCAUUUUGUAUUACAAACGGGAAAUUGACAUACGAUUCGGGUGUUGGGGCUGCAAUUUCCCGUUUGUAAUGCAAAAUGAAUGAAAAUUGCAAACUUCGCAAGGCUCUAUUUUCCUCAUUUUACAACAUUUCGCAACGAAACUUUGGAAUAUUACUAAUUUUGUGAUGCUCUUUCAAGCUGUGAUGAAAUAUUUGUCUAGACUUGCCUAGAUCAAAAUUUUGGUUAUAAGGGGAAAGGUCUAAUGGGUAAAUUCUAAGUUUUGAAGGUUUUGAACAUCAUGAAUCAGUUCCCUCAAGCAUUUCUUACAAAUCCUUCAAAACUUACCUGUGCAAAAUUCCUACUGUGAUCACAGGAACUUUGAUAGUGUAAACCUGCCUCCAAAAGCCCGAAGGGUAACUUGUGGUAUCGUCUAGCGGUUAUUGAAGGGGAAACGUAUAAAUGCGUGCAAAUUAAAUCUAUGUUGUUCUGUAAUUCGCUUGCGUGUCUAUACAAUCCCCACAGCUCGACGCUGAGCUAACAAGAUACUGUAGCUUACUUUGUCAAAUUCUAAUUAUUUUAUUAUACAUCUUCCUGUACCUAUAGACUGGAACAUCUCAGCAGGGUUUGUCAUCCUUUGGGCUAUACCACACAAGAUUUGCAAUCACACGCGAUAAGGGUUGAAAGUGUUCACUGUUGAUCUUCAGAGUACACCGGCAACGAUUGAGAACAACGUGAAACCUAUAUGCAAGUUUGCAAAGGACGUUUGAUUGUAAAGAACGGAAGGAGCUAUACCAUCAUUCCAUUUGCAAAAUUGUCUUUAACCACCUCAAUUUCUUGGUAGAUUUGACAGCACAAAGGGUGAGUUUAUUUGGAUUUUAUAUUCCGGUUUUAUUUGUUUGGCUAAUAUAACAAAAUCUAUAUAUUGUUAUCAUAUUGUCUUGGUUUCUAUGAACUAUUACCCGAGAAAUAUUGAGGUUUUUUAUAUGUUACGUAACACGCGUUCAAAACUAAGGCCUCCCAGUCAAAUAAGAAUGAGCUCGGAGAAUGAGAGUUGGAAGUCACGCAUUGUUACAGCCUACAGGGGACAUUUCAAGCUCUAGAUUAACAAAAUAAAGGUUUGACGAGUCUUCCAGUUACCUUUUAACUUAAAUAAAAUGCAUGGUAGUCUUGUAUGGGAAAACAUUAAGAACAGCUAGCUAAUGUCGCAUAUAACUGCACGCCACGCGCUUAACGAAUAUAAUAAUGCCACUUGUACAUUCAACAUUUUUAGCUUUUAAUAUUUUUCUCAAUCGGCAAACAAACUUAAAAGCAUGUUUAGUGUUUUAUAUCUGUAAAAUAAUGCUAUAAUGAAGAGGUUUAGAUUGUAUAUACGCCAAAGAGAAAAUUGUGUCUGAAAUUCAGUAAGUUUUGCUUAUAUAUUGUUGCAUGCGGGUAUGCAUCAAUCUGAAAGCAUCAUUGACAGUUUUUUUUGUAUAUAUUUUAUUUUUCUCAACCAACAGAUUUAUCUAAAGAAGUUGCUAACUGUAUAAACCAGAAAAUAAAGCUAAAACAAAGUAGUUUUGAGAGGUACGCCAAAAAGAUUUUAGGUUUUGAGCACUUUUCAUCGCGCAAAUUUGUGACAUAGAAAAAAAAAACGCGUUGACGUUUUGAGCGACGGCCCAUCGUCAGGGCCGCUUGUUCAAGGUAGUUAGAUUAGCGCUAAUCCUCGUUUAAAAUUUAACCAGCUGUUUUAGUUUAUGUAUUCCUACACCUCUGUGGAUUUCGAAACUUCAUAGAGAAGAAAACUUCUAUACUGAUCCGGACAAGAUUUUUGAACAAAUAUUUCCAUGCAUGCAUGCACAAUGGACCGUUUGCAUUAUAGACUAAAUUUUGAUCUAGACAAAAAAUUCACUACAGCUUGAAAGAGCAUCACAAAAUUAGUAAUAUUCCAAAGUUUCGUUGCGAAAUGUUGUAAAAUGUGGGUAAUAUAUAUAGCCUUGCGAAGUUUGCCGUUUUUCAGUCAUUUUGUAUUACGCACGGGAAAUUGACAGCCCAAUCGGGUGUUGGGGCAUCAAUUUCCCGUUUGCAAUACAAAAUGACUGAAAAUUGCAAAUUUCGCAAGGCUAUAUUAUCCGCAUUUUACAACAUUUCGCAACGAAACUUUGGAAUAUUACUAAUUUUGUGAUGCUCUUUCAAGCUGUGAUGAAAUGUCUAGACUUGUUUAGAUCAAAAUUUAGUCUAUAAUGCAAAUGGUCCAUUGAUAAACAAGCGAAGUUUGCUGAGAAGUUGAGAACUGUUGAGAAGUUUGCCUUGAAUUUCAGGAAACCAAGGGUUAUGCUAAUCGGCUUUCCAAUAACUGGCCCUGCAGGAGGUUAGCGCAAUAGGGAAUUUAAGCUUCACGUUUCCGGGAACAGCAAACGGCAGGUUCGAUCUUUCUUGGCAAAAUUUUCGUUAAACGUUUUUCCGGUUUCAUAUUUUCUUUCUUGUGUCGAAAGAAUAGUCAUGCAUUGCAGUUUUAAAACAGCAAGUUCAUUUACUCUUUAUUGCCUGAUAUACCGUAAUUUUUUUCUUUGCCUGGCGUUUGCCGUUUGACGUAUAACGCGAAGCUUAAACUCUCUAUUAUGACUAAUGUUGACUGUUGGUGUACUAAUAAUCAUCUGUCACUCGAAACGUCGAAGCUUUUUUAAUCUUUUUCAAAUAUACUUCAGAAACAAACAACGACAGUCGCGCUUAUACUAACUACACUGCAUGGUUUCCGACGUUUGAGAUAUCACGCGUAAAGAUAUUUUAUGCUAUCGUUCUUUGGCGGGUAUAUUGUACGAUGGCUGGAGAAGUUAGGAAAUCGCCCUGGAGCAAUGUCACCUAUAGCUCCAUAGUGUAAGGCGCUAACUCCAAAUUAAGACUGCAAAACUUCAUUGAAUUCAGGAGUUACAUGCCAACUACGAAAAUCGUGUGAAAACAGUAGAGUUGCCUUUCUAAACAUAGAGCUACUGACUAACAACUCCAAAAAUCAUGUGCAUUUAUAGCUAUCUAAACCUAUAGAGUUACUGCUGGCUAACAAUCUGAGUUGCUAUAUAGCUAUCUAAACAGAGAGUUACUGACUAUAACAACUCUAAAAAUCAUCACCAGCUACAGUCAUGGCAAAGAUUAUGUGGACACUAAAGUAUUACAUGUUCAUUUUCACGUAUUAGCAUCUUUCUACCCUUCGCUUCGACAGACUAUAGCACCAGAGUAGUAUCGUCUUUGACCUUCACACCCAGCCAUAAAAUUAUUUUCUCGCCCACUCUUCCCGUCCGUAGGAUAACAGAGACGUAAGGAUAUAGUUCCGUUUAAAAAUUCAAUUCAGUGAAAUACCGAAGAAAUUUGCAGAAGCAUUCAAUUUAUAGUCGAUUUUUUAGCGAAUCUCUGAUAAAUCGUAUAUGUGUUUUGUUUUGAUGUGUUCCCGAAAUACGUCACGCCGACGGUAAAAGGUAUUCUCGAGUCGCCCCAGUUCGUUGAUGUUCACGGUAACGCGAAAACUUCCCAAAAAUAACCCGAAAUAAUCGAAUACACAAAUUUCCCGAUCAUGCAUGACAUAAACACUUUAAACUUUCUUUGUCUUUCUUCGUUAGAAGAUUGACGGUUUUAAUUAUUAAGGAAGGUCAAACGUAGAUGUAUUUCCGAGGACUUCAAAAACAUGAAAUAAAGACUGACUUUUUCGCCUCUGCGAUCAUGCCGAAAGGCAUGCAUUAAGUCCCAAAUAUGUGUUUUUAUUUGUACGCAAGCAUUGUAUAAAAUGGUUAGCAUUCCCUUUUAACAAGCAUAUAAGCACACUGAGAGUGGCAAGUGCUAAUAUUGGUUCCCCUUAUAAGUAUGUUGAUGAAAUAAAGUAUAUUUCUUAUGUCUCUCGAAGUUUCGCCGAAGUAGCUUAUACUUUACACUUAACUAUUGAAUAUUUCACAUCUUGAUAAUCUCUCGAGAGGGAAUUCCUGCGUGUGGCGUUCUCAAGCAUCCUUCUAUAAGAACCUGGUGUAUGUAAUCGAAUCAGUGUGAUCAUAUAAAAGAUAUAUUAACGUGACGUUACUGUGGAAAUAUAUGAACAAAUGUUGUAGGAAUCAUAAACAGAUAUGCCACAUGGCGAUGAAAUUUUGUGAGGUUGUCAAAUGAUCUAUAUUCCCUUUAACAUCGGAUGAAAGACAGUCUUGUCCUGACAAAAGAGUUCUUGGCUUGUUGUUCUUUCAGUUUCACUUGAAAAGGAAUAUUCUGGAACUUUUUUUAGACCUCUCCAACCCGCAAGAGUUGGAAAAAAACGGUCUACAGUGUACAGUCAGACUGAGUUCAGACUGAGUUUAUCUUCGACCUUCCUUCGUCGUUAUUUUGAUCCGAAUUGGCCUGAGUUCAAUUGGCAUUCUUUUUCAGUUUCUGGAAAGAUUCUAUGGAUUCAAUCUUGUUUGUUAUGGAAUAUUUAUGCUAGACAAUUGUGAAAGGUAGGACAAGAGAAAUGUAUGUGUAUAUACAUGCUAUAUAUGCAUCGAGAAAGGGUUAUCUUGUCACAAUGAUUUUAUGGAAUAGCAGCCCAUUCAACAGUCAGUACAUAGGGUAGAAUGUUGCAUGAGAAUUUGUGUUCGUGCAGGCUAUUCCCUUGAGGAAACAGUGUUUCUUUCAUAUUCUUCAGAAGGAGUUGUUAUGAAUCAUCAUUUUAAUGAAAUCUGCACUCAAGGUCAUGAUCUUGUACUAAACAUCGAAUUCUGUACAACAGAUCAUUUUAAAACAGCCCACGUUCAAGAACGUGUACCAUUCCCGUAUGAUCUAACCAUACUUAAUCUGUAGUCUGCGUGACUUUGCAGAGCUAUACUCUUUGUGACUUUGUGAAAAGGUCUCCGCGAGGUUUGAGACAAACAUACUGUACUGUGAAGGUGCCUCUUACACGUGAAUCAGGCUCGUGAAAAUAACAAAGCCCCAGGCCUUUUCAGGUCUGGGCAAAUAUCAGCAUUUUGUUUAUCUUCACUCGAUAGAACUAACUCUACAGGGGUUUGGUAGAUGGAAAUUUUCGAGUGUGAUUUUUAUACAUUUAUUAAACCUAACAAAGGAACAGCUCGGAAAAAUGAAACUAUAGACCUUCUGGCAGAAAUCGAAUCUGCGACCCUGCGAUUCCAGUGCAGCGCUCUAACCAACUGAGCUACAGAGGCCAGCUUUCGGGCUGUAUAUAAACCACAGGUUUAUGUCUGUGUACAGCUAUUUCAGUGAAGGUUGUCCCCGAGCAAAGCGGAAAAGUCGAAUACGAGCGCGAAAGGCUUGCUGGGAAUCGCUAAAAAAUUAAUGAAUUUUUUAGCGAUUCCCAGCAAGCCUUUCGCGCUCGUAUUCGAGUUUUCCGCUUUGCUCGGGGACAAACUUCAUUGAAAUAGCUGUAUACUAAGAUGUAUGGGCAAUGUAAGGUGUAUCUCACUCCGAAUAUUAACAUCUUGUAAACUGUCGAUAUGAGCUAUUGAAACUGCCAAGACUAUAAAUUCAAGAUGAUAUUUCGACUCUGUUUGAAAGUCAUUGUAUGUCAAACCUAGUUAUUGUUAAGCGUGCUCAGAUCUUAAAUAGGAAGAUGACGUCAUCAGUUAAAAAGUGAGAACAAACGAAUAGGAGAUUUCAAACCGCAUUUCUGGCUUAUUAAGUUUUACUUCUGCGAAACAACAACAGAUCUGGAUUUUUUAUCUCAAAUAUAAUCUCCUAUUGUUGUUCUCAUUAUUCUCGCUUUUCAACUGAUGACGUCAUCUUCCGCUUUGGUAUCUGUAAAGAUCGUAAACAAGUCUGACAAUGACUUUGAAAUUGAGUGGAAAUAUUGUACCUUGAAUUUUGUGUCCUGUUUGCGAUAUCUUGAGUCUAAUGACGACAGUAUUUGCAUGAGCACCACAAAUGACAAAUUUACUGUGUAUAUAUAAAUUGCAUUAUAGACUAAAUUUUGAUCUAGACAAGUCUAGACAAAAAUUUCAUCACAGCUUGAAAGAGCAUCGCAAAAUUAGUAAUAUUCCAAAGUUUCGUUGCAAAAUGUUGUAAAAUGCGGAUAAUAUAGCCUUGCGAAGUUUAACGUUUUUCAGUCAUUUUGUAUUACGCACGGGAAAUUGACAGCCCAAUCGGGUGUUGGGGCAUCAAUUUCCCGUUUGGAAUACAAAAUGACUGAAACAUGCAAAUUUCGCAGGGCUAUAUUAUCCGCAUUUUACAACAUUUCGCAACGAAACUUUGAAAUAUUACUAAUUUUGUGAUGCUCUUUCAAGCUGUGAUGAAAUUUUUGUCUAGACCAAAAUUUAGUCUAUAAUGCAAAUGAUCCAUUGGUGAACCACUAGUGGCCUCUCCUUUCCUCGUGAUUUUGCUAACUAAUGAAGUCACUGCAAUGGCUGCCUCAAGUCAUAUUAUCAAGCUUUCGUUGGUAAGAAUGCAACUACCUGAAAAAUAUAAGGAGAAUUUCGACGUUUCGAGCGAAGGCCCUUCGUCUGGAGUUAGCAGCCAAACAUUCUAAAAUUCAUUGAGGAAUGUGUGGCAAGCUGUAUUUUUCAAGUCACAUACCAAACGGCAUUUGCUUCAUAGCAUAACUAUUUUCGACACUUAACCGUUUGUAAAGGAUUUGACGGAUUUAAAAAUCUCUCAUUAAAAAUAUUCUGGCUUCAAAAUAAAAAGGACGCCCUAUAUCCAGUGCUAUUUUGUAGACCAAUAGUUAUAUGCAGUAUAGCAGAAUCGGACUGAUUCGCACAAGGCUGUGUUAGAAACACCCCUUCAAUUAACAUGUGAAAAAAACAUUGGCAUGGUUCCCAAGAUACAUUGUACAUCACAAUAAACAAACAGAAAAAUAUUUUUCUUACAUAUGAAAGAAACGUUAUGCUGUUGCUGUGGGCAAUAAUGUCGAUAAUGAUGAUAAUAAGCACUUACAAAUGGUCAUGCUCAAAGCGUGAUUAGUGCUGCCUCAUUGGUUCGUUUUGAAAUUCUCUCAUCGUGCCGUUAAUUUUGAGAGACAAUUAGGGGUUAAGGAUUCUGUAUUGACUUUGGGUGGCAUUACAGAGAACAUCUCUUAAAAUUGGUUGGCAGUUUUUAAACUGUAAGAUAUAUAAUUGGCAAGGACUGUAAUAUACUUUGUCGUUUCUGUGGAUAGUGUAAGGUAAAGAUGUUUAUUUGUUGCGAAUUUUUUUUCAUAAUAUUGAAUAGGAAUUAUAAAGAACGUGUAAUUUACAGCAAUUUGCAGCUUAGCAUAUAAUAUACUGCUCUGCCCACCUUAGAGAAAAUUGUUUGCUUAAACGUAAUUGACGUAUAGUUGAUUUAUAUCUGUGCGAUGAAAUGAUAGUGUUCAAAAUGUAUCUUUUUAUACAGUGAGAGAGGAAUGAGGAAUUAUCAAUAAUAAGAACAAUGCUAAGUCGUCGAACCCGCGUGUGAGAUAAUUCCUUAGGCACUCGUGGGUACAAUAGUUAAAUAAUAAUUAGAACCGUUUUUAGGGCCUGUUUACGAGAUUUUUGCUGCGGUUUUACAGGUGCGAUUUUCGUCUUCUGAUGCAUGUGAACGAGCGCAUGAGUCACGAACCUUCAGACCAGGGUACAUCAGUGGGACUUCUACUCAGAACAUUUAUAACUCGUCUACUCGUUCACAUGCGUCAGGAGAAGAAAAUCGCAGUACAAAUUGUAAGUGUAUAAAUGGGCCUUUACCGUGGGAAUUUUGGCCUGAGCCAAGCCAAAGCAAGGCCAGACGUACAGCUAUAAUGGACUAUUUGCAUUAUAGACUAAAUUUUGAUCUAAACAAGUCUAGACAAAAAUUUCAUCACAGCUUGAAAGAGCAUCACAAAAUUAGUAAUAUUCCAAAGUUUCGUUGCGAAAUGUUGUAAAAUGCGGAUAAUAUAGCCUUGCGAAAUUUGCAAUUUUCAGUCAUUUUGUAUUCCAAAUGGGAAAUUGAUGCCCCAACACCCGAUUGGGCUGUCAAUUUCCCGUGCGUAAUACAAAAUGACUGAAAAACGGCAAACUUCGCAAGGCUAUAUUAUAUCCGCAUUUUACAACAUUUCGCAACGAAACUUUGGAAUAUUACUAAUUUUGUGAUGCUCUUUCAAGCUGUGAUGAAAUUUUUGUCUAGAUCAAAAUUUAGUCUAUAAUGCAAAUGAUCCAUUGCGAUACGUUUAUACAUUGUUUAUACUUUGGCAUAUGGCAUGCCUGUCCGAGACAGCAAAAUGCUCGCAGUUUAAACACGGGUUAAGACGGAGUAUAAUUGAACUAACUUUAUAUAUAAUGACAGGGAUUAAUACAAUAGACUCCAUACUACCACAAGAAGAUUGAGUUAUAAAAGGAGAUCCCUACCUCACUUCCACCAAAAGCCCCCCCCCCCCCUCCGCCCGUAAAAUUCUUGAUUUUGUUUCCAUGAAAUACUAUUUCCCCCAUUCAGGCAGCACUUUUAAGCAAACAAGUCUAGUUCAUGUAAACGAGUUUAAAGGUGUGGUAAAAAAUAUACAGCGAGCAAGUACUUUCUUCCUUUUUACAGUUAAUUAUUCACAAUCGCCGUUUUUUUACUGUAUACCGGUGGCAGAAAAGUACUUGUAUUAAUUCCUGACUGGACGGCCCUGCCCUAUCAGUUCUAAGUAUGUAGAGGUCCUAUAUUGGUCCAGUGUAAAGCGAUGAGAUGAUAUCAUUUCGUGUUAGAGAAUGGCGGAAAAUACCAAUAUUAACCAGUUUAAUUCUUGUCGAGGUCUCUAUUAUAUGCACAUUGAAAAAAUUGUCUGGCCUAGAAAAAGUUGUCGAAACUUUGGGGUAACAUUAAUCCUCAGGAUAUUUUUAGCAAAUUGCUCUUUUAAAUACUAGGUUAGGUUAGUUUGCUGUGUACGUAAUAUUUAUGAUUGCGAACCCUUGAAAAGUUUAAUUUGAAGUUCAGCGAAAAAUAAAAAAUUGUAAGACACUUGAUAUAUUGGGCCAAUUGUUGACAUGGUACACGCAUUUACGGGUUAUUUAUAUAGGGAUAGUGCUUUCACUUGAGAUUAGAGUGUCACAAAUAUGAUUUUUGGUAUGUGUAAUAUUUGGGUCAUUCUGUGGUUAACUUUUUCACAGUCAAAGUUUCCAGAUAUGAUGUCAUUAGAUGGAAUUUUGUGUAGUGUGCAAAAAGAGGAAUCUAAUUUACAAUUCAUCUUAUGACGUCAUAUCCGGAAAUUUGACAGCGAAAAAAAAGUUGUUCAAGAUGAGGUUUUUUGCUAUAAAUAUCUAUUACAUUUCUUCUCCGGAUGACUCAUCAUCUAUCACACAUUACAAAACAUCAUAUCAUUGGGGUUAGUCGCAAAUAGUUUUAUAUACAGAGAAGUGUUGACUAUUAUGCGUAUAUUAUGAGAACAUUAUGCGAGAUUUUACCUGACAAUUAGGGGACCGGUCAUUACUUAUGGCAGGGGGUGACGCCAAAGAGAAAAUGGUUGGGUAAACAAAAUUUUGAGUGAGUAAAAGGUUGGGUAAAUGAAACACAAAACAACUCAAGGGUUGGGUAAUAAAAAUUUAUUGUCAUUUCCAAAGCAUGACUCACUUCAGAUAUUGAAGACUAAAAAGCAAUGUCAACAGUCAUAUGUCAGUACAAUAUGUAAAUCAAUCAGAGUCAUUAUCUUGAUCAUUCUCCGAUUGGUCCACAGGCGGCCCAGACGUGUAUUAGUGUAUAGUAAAUAUAUCAUUAUAGAAUAUACUACACAGUAAAAUUUGUAAUGAAUUUUAUAUUUUAAAAUCAUAUUUACUUGCCUACUUUGAUUGUAUGUGAUCGUCUUUUAUUUCUGAGCGACUUUACAUUCGAUGCCUGCGACUGUCUUCAUAGGUGAUAGUAUUGAAAGCAAAGGCUAACGAUUCCAGUUCUCAAACAGCCGACACGAACAAUUCAAAUCGAAAAAUAUCCCCUUCAAAUUGCUUUCUUCGCGGUAAAACUUUGCCAGCGUAUAGAAUAAACACCCAUCUUCGAACAUACAAUGCAAUAUUAACACGUCCUAUAAUUUUUGCAAUGGAUUUUUAGCGAAAUGUUUCGAGACUAAAAUUCUAUGGAACUUAGAAAGCCCGAUAAUUACUACGGCGCCUGCUUGGCCACCUAGCCUCCUUUACCGUUUGGAUUUUCAGGGGGGGUUGAAUAAAAAACACCUAUUUCCGGCAACAGCCAGCCAGUCAACGUCGCGAUACCGACUGUUUACAAUAUUUGAAAUCUGAUAUUGUAAUUUAUCAACAACAAAACUUUUUCGAUCGAUCGAUCGUAUAGUAUAAGAUAGAAAGACAGCUUUUGCAAAUUUACAAUAUCAGAUUUCAAAUAUUGUAAACAGUCGGUAUCGCGGCGUUGACUGGCUGGCUGUUGCCGGAAAUAGGUGUUUUUUAUUUGACCCCCCCCUGAAAAUCCAAACGGUAAAGGAGGCUAGGUGGCCAAGCAGGCGCCGUAGUAAUUAUCGGGCUUUCUAAGUUCCAUAGAAUUUUAGUCUCGAAACAUUUCGCUAAAAAUCCAUUGCAAAAAUUAUAGGACGUGUUAAUAUUGCAUUGUAUGUUCGAAGAUGGGUGUUUAUUCUAUACGCUGGCAAAGUUUUACCGCGAAGAAAGCAAUUUGAAGGGGAUAUUUUUCGAUUUGAAUUGUUCGUGUCGGCUGUUUGAGAACUGGAAUCGUUAGCCUUUGCUUUCAAUACUAUCACCUAUGAAGACAGUCGCAGGCAUCGAAUGUAAAGUCGCUCAGAAAUCGAUCACAUACAAUCAAAGUAGGCAAGUAAAUAUGAUUUUAAAAUAUAAAAUUCAUUACAAAUUUUACUGUGUAGUAUAUUCUAUAAUGAUAUAUUUACUAUACACUAAUACACGUCUGGGCCGCCUGUGAUUGGUCAAGAGGCAAAUGGUGUCUCCAAAGAAAGUACAUGUGCAGACGACAUGAAACAUUAGAUUGCAGAAAAUGACACAAGCAGUUAUCAAACUUAUGUCACACUGAAAUGGUAAAGGACAUGUGUGACAACUGAACGGUAGCCUUUUGUAACGUUUUUGGCCAGGGGUAUUUCAUUUUUUAAAUUAUAUUUGUAGUUGGUAAAAAAAAUUUGAUUUUAAUGGUUGGAUCAACAGAAUUUUUACCAAGAAACACAUUUCUCUAAUUCGGUGCCAUCCUCCGCUAUAAAUCAGUAAUGAACUGUCCCUUAAUACUGGAUGAAUAAUGAAUGCGGAAACAGCGAUAGAUAUAGAAUACCCGUCCAUUUUGACAUCUAACACUUAUUAAUACCUUAAUAGCAUUUUUUUGCAAUUUCGUGAUAUUUUGUCAUUUCGUGAGUUUGAGUGAGUGAAAUUUAUACUGUAACUAUGACGGGGUAAUUUUAAGAGCAUCUCUCGAGUUCUGAUAUUGAUAUAGUAUAAUUAAACUAUUAUACCAGGAUGUGUUCAAAACGUGAUGAACUCGCGAUAUUCGUCAGUUGCAUGCAAAUAUUGUUAGCAGGUUUUCGCCAUGUUGUCCAAUGACACCGUGGGUGCAUAGCAACCCAUUUUCGUGUACGUGGUUAAAAAAAACAUGGCGCUUGAUAUCAGUUGUCAGAUGCUCAUAAUUUGCUGUUGUUUCGACAAAAAGUAUCGAAACUUAUGCAACAGAUAUAGUUAACAGCAAGUGACAUUACGUUUUGGGGUAUUCAACAAAUAUCACAGCUUGCAAGUUGGUGUUGGAUGGCCGCCUAUAGCUAGAUUUUAUAGCAUAUAUAUAGGCCUAUACCUUGACUGCGUUAUACGAACUCUCAUCCAUUCUCUUCAUUUUUAUACUUGACAGUAAGUCUACAUAUUAUAUAUUGUUGAUCAGUCUAUUUGGGUAUUCGGGAUCCUUCGCUUUCCCAAAAAAAAACAUAAUUUCAGAUAUCUAUAUCUCAAAUCUUCAAUGUAUAGGUCGUAUUCUACAAUAAGUUGCCAUGGUUUGUGUUUAAACUACCUGAAGAAAUAUCUCAAACGUUAGUAUACCUAUAAUAUCUCAAACGUUAGGUAGUAUUCCACAGUAAGUUCCCGUGGUUUGUGUCUGAACUACCUGAAAAAAAAUAUCUCAAACGUGAUGGUCCAGUUUAGGUAGUAUUCUAUACACUAAGCUGUCGUGGUUUGUGUCUAAACUGUCUGAAAAAGAUAUCUGUAACGUGAUGGUCUAGUGUUCGUAUUCUAAUAUAAGCUGCCGUAGUUUGUGUCUGAACUAUCUGAAAAAGAGAUCUCAAACGUGGUGGUCCAGUGUAGGUAGUAUUCUACAAUAAGCUGCCAUGGUUUGUGUCUCCAACUACUUGAAAAAAUAUAUCAAACAUGAGGUCCAUGCAGUGUAGGUGGUCUGUGUCUAAAGGAAGAGAUUAUUUCGCUGGCCUCAGAGUGACAAAACGUAACAAAGCAACGGUUUUACUAGCACUAACCCUACUCCAAACACCAAUUCUAACCCUAAUCCUUACCCUUACCCUAACCUAACCUUACUCCAAAUUUGUUUUUAAACCAAUCUUGAAGAAAAAAGUUUUGACGAAAUGUCAUUCUGAGGUCAGCGAAAUAGUUGAUGCCGUGUCUAAACUAUCUGGAAAAGAUAUAUGUAACGUGGUGGUCCAGUGUAGGUCGUAUUCUAAAAAAAAAACAGGCGUAGUUUGAGUGUGAACUUUCUGAAAAAGAUAUCUCAAACGUGGUGGUUCAAUGUAGGUAGUGUUUUACAAUAAACUGACGUAGUUUGUUACUGAACUAUACUUCAGGAAUAUUCGACGUUUCAAUUGGAGACGUCUCUUCGGCAGGAAGCCACCAUAUAGUCUCUUUCAGUGUAGUUUAGACACAAAAACCGCGACGGAAACGUAUACACUACGAGCAAAACAAUUUUGAGCUUCGUCAGCAAAUUCGAUACCGCGUAAAAGGGUGUGGUCGACACCAAGUUCAUUUACCGUCGAUACGUGUUCGAUGAAAAAUCUAGAAAACAAUGAUGGGAAAAUCAUGCCCUAAUUGACUUCUUCGAUAUUUUCUAUAAUAACAACAAGCUAUAUGAAAUUUUCCGCAGCUUUUUAUGUCUCAAGACAUCAUAUGGAAGUUGUUGGUCUAAUUGUGUUUUCACAGCGGGCUCGCUGAGUCCUGCAAAGCUUCGCUGUUAUCCGCGCGGAAGGUACUUGUAUCGCCGUUUCUAUACAAACGAUCUGACCGGCUAUUGUUGGAAGCGAUCCAAGCCCAAUUUAGAAAGCCUUGUUCGGCCGUGGGAUAGAACUAUUAUAGACCUUUGCACGCUGCUUUGCACGAUCUAUUUAAGUUUCUAGAUAGAUAGAUAGAUUGUUUGUUUAAUAAGAUUAACACAUAGCAGCCAAGAGGCUGAAUUGCGUGCUAAAUUUUACAAGAGAAAUGAUUAAAUUAGUUAUUCUAUAUUUACAUAUAGAAUAUAUUUACAUAUAGAAUAUAUUUAUAUAUCUAUAUUUCUGUGAUCACAGUAGGAAUUUUGCAUGGGGAAAUUCUACGUUUUGAAGGAUUUGUAAGAAAUAUUUGAGGAAACUGACUUAUGUUAAACACUAAGUCUGUUUCCUCAAACAUUUCUUACAAAUCCUUCAAAACUUAGAAUUUUACCUAUGCAAAAUUCCUACUGUGUUCACAGAAACUUUGAUAGUGUAAACCAUCCUAUAUAAGACCGGUUUCAAUAUUCGUUUACGUUCAUACACAUCUGAUUAAGUCCUAGGACUGGAUCAAAUUACGCGGACUUGAAAUCUAGUCCAGUCUUCAUAGUCUGAUUUGAAAUAUUACAUCUCAAACUCAUUAACAAUUCAUGAGUAAAUUAGCCAACCAUAUUGCUUUAUUUUGCUCACAUUAUAAUACUGAAUCCUUGGACUGGUCAAAAUUAAUUCACCCCACUUUAAGUAGUGAUUUAAUGAGUUUGAGAUGCUCUCGUCUGUGUUGUUGAAAUCGAAUAGAAUUUUUAAACGCGAACGAGGACAAGAUGUAUAUGUAAAAGAAUAUUUAAAUCUGUUUCUAUUUAUAAGAUUGGUUUAUGAACAAACAGCCUGGUAAAAACAUUUUCAAAUUGACUAAUUCUGAUUAACUAUAAAUUAUCUUUCGCGUUAAAUAUGCUAAUUUUUUUUAAGAAGAACGACGUUCCAGAAAUCCGAAAAUACGAGUUCGACACCGCUCGAGACAGCCAAUUUUUCGUUGUACUCGGCAGUGUCAGAAUGAUAUGAAACUAAUUUUUUAUAUCUCCCAGGAUGGUUCUGAAAUAUAAUAAUAUUUAAUAUUAAGAUAUAUAAGUUACCACAAAUUAUAAUAGCGUUACAAACUGAGUUACUGUUUAGAUAUAGGUUAUAGAAUAGUCUAUAUAGAGAAAGUAUAGAGAAAUAAAAAUAGAAUCAUGUCAAAACAGCCAGACCCAAAACCAUCCCAUGCAAAUUCUGCGUCCACCGCCAGGCUGACCAUGGACUAAUUAGGCUGACGGUGCAAUUUUGGGACGAAAUGAAGUCAUUUUUAUUUACUCAUAUUUUGGCGGUAGGAAAAUUAUCUCGGAUACAUUAUUACAUUACAGAUAAUUUUCCCACCUCCGAUAUACGAGUAAAUAAAAAUGACUUCAUUUCGUCCCAACAAUUGCACUGUCAGGCUCAUUAGUGCAUGGUCAGGCUGGCGAUUGUUCCGCCAAAAUUUGCGUAGGAGGCGUGAGUCUGUUGGUUUGUUUUUUUGACAGUAUUAUUAGAUUUUUAUUUUUUUCCGACUUUCUUUAUAUAGAUUCUAACCUAAUUUAGAAAUAAGUUAAUUAGUUCAUUUGAAAAUGUUUUUACCAGGCUGGCUUGUUGAUAAACCAAUUUUAUAAUGGAGACAGAAUUAAAUAUUCUUUUACAUAUACAUCUUAUCCUUGUUCACAUUUAUAAAAAUUCUAUUCGAUUUCAGCCACAGAAUCAGAGACGAGAGCAUGAAAGUUUAUUGUGAUGAACAUGAACGAAUAUUGGAAGCAGUCUCUAUUGUAUAUUGCGCUUUCUAUCAUUAAGCUAUCGAGUCAACGGGAAUUGAUCUAGACAUGAAGAAAUAUAGCCCCGUGAAGUUCGCAAAUUUUUUAUAUAUUUGCAUUACAAAAUUUGCGAACUUCGCAGGGCUAUAUUUUCUUCAUUUUACAACAUUUCGCAACCAAUCUUUGCAGUUUUACUCAUUCUAAGACGCUCUUUCUAGCUGUGGUGUUGGAUUUCGUUCUUCUUGCCUUGAUCAAAAUUUAGUCUAUGACUGGAAUCACCCAUUUAAGUGCACGAAAUGCUAAUUGUCUUGGUGGACGCGCAGAGUUUCAAUUCUAUUUCCGAAACAUCCUCAAAAAUUUUUCCAAACUCUUGAACGGGAUUCGAAUCCCUUGUCAGAAUAAUAUAUAUAGCCCGAUAGGUUUGCUACAGAACCUGGUUAAUAACAGUGCUUUAUGCUGUGACGAGUUUAUUCUGUAAUAAUAUUCGAAUGAUAAUAACCCCCUUACCCUAACUGCUGACUCUAACCCGUAAACAACUGAUGAGACUUUGCCCCGUUGGAGACUGUUUGCAUAAUUAGCAUAAUUAGGAUGUAUCGAGAUCACGUAUAACCUAAAACAAACACAUCGUAGACUGUGGUUUUUAUUUCACAUGCAGGUUUGGGAAACUGUGAUCUACGUAAACUGAGACACGCCUUGGCCAGGCUGUCUUUAUAAGCUGCUGCGAAUCGUAGAAAGGUAUCAGUCUUUGAGGAGACCGCGUAGAAGUGGUUACAAUAAAGAUAGGACGCAAUUGAGGAGAACUGAGAAUUUGGAGAAAGAUUUUACACAAAAAAG